rnacentral:rRNA from 1 species
GUGGGGAAUAUUGGACAAUGGGGGAAACCCUGAUCCAGCAAUGCCGCGUGAGUGAUGAAGGCCUUCGGGUUGUAAAGCUCUUUUAUCAGGGAAGAUAAUGACGGUACCUGAUGAAUAAGCUCCGGCUAACUUCGUGCCAGCAGCCGCGGUAAUACGAAGGGAGCUAGCGUUGUUCGGAAUUACUGGUCGUAAAGGGCGCGUAGGCGGCCUUGUAAGUUAGAUGUGAAAGCCCCGGGCUUAACCUGGGAACUGCAUUUAAGACUGCAAAGCUAGAGGACGAGAGAGGAAAGUGGAAUUAUGAGUGUAGAGGUGAAAUUCGUAGAUAUUCAUAAGAACACCAGUGGCGAAGGCGACUUUCUGGCUCGUAUCUGACGCUAAGGCGCGAAAGCGUGGGGAGCAAACAGGAUUAGAUACCCGGGUAGUCC